GGCAACAGCAGCAAGUUGAACUUCGAUAUGUCACAUGCAUGUUCCCGGGCAAAAUAACUGAUGCGAAAGGGUGCUUCAUACUUCCAUCAUAAAGAAAGAACUAUAUUUCGUUUCGCAAAGGGAAACUUGCAAAGGGUGUAAAGCGGUGGUAGAUUUACAUCGUAUUUUUCAUACGGGCCUGUUCACCGGAGUAUCUUUACUUUACGAAAUCUCGAUUUCAUCAAAAUCGUCAUGUGCAGCGAAUUUGUAUAUCAGAGAUCUGAGGGAAGAUCUACGGACUUCAAGGAAUGUAUACAGGAUUCUUUGAAAGACUCAUUUGAUCAACGUGGGAUAGUUGUAGCAAGGCUUCACCAACUUGCAGAAGAUCUUGAUGAAGCGCAACAAAAGCUCUAUUUAGCGAAAUCUGCAUUUGCGGCAGGGGGAGUGUCGGGAGGAGUGCUCACAGCAGUAGGAUUACUUGGGAUACCUUUCACAUUCGGACUUUCCACAGGAUUGACUAUUUUGGGGGUUUCAUCCGGAAUUGGUGGGUUUGGUACCGAGCUGUACAAUAGCGCGCUCAACAAAACAACAAUUCUAAAGGCUUAAAAACAAAUAGACACACUCAGAGAAGAAGAAACACACACACUGGAUCUAAUUGGGGAGAUGAGAAGUACCAAACCACGAGAAUUUAAAGAGUUUCUGAGGAAUGAUUUGAAACAGUUAAUGGACCCAAGAUACCACGAAGUACUUUCUGACGUGCUGACCAUAGAAGAUGGCGAUAGCAAGGUGAAGGAACAAGGUUAUGCAUAUAAUGUAAAAGCCGCCAUUGGGAAGAUGCUAAAGAAAGAUAACUUAUAUGGGAAAGCAACACUCGCAUGUGGUAGAAUGUGUCUUUCUGCUAUCGAUGUUGCGUCCGAUGGAGCAAAGCUGUCAAGUUUGCUUUCCUUUGUCUCCGUCCCUUUCGAUUUACACACACUCAUCUCAAACAGUUGGAAAUCAAUGAAAAAGAAGCUGUGAAACUGCGAACAAUUGCAAAAAUACUGCCCUCGAUUGCAACGUCACGAUGUCAAUCUGAGGCUCAGAAACUACGUAAGGAGAAAGAACAGAUGAAAGAGGAAAUGAAGAAGAACGCUAAUGCAUGGGAGAAGAUGAAAAGCAAGAUCGAAGAGGAUGUCACCAUGGAAAUGGAAUCCUUGUCUGCUGAAUAUGACUACAGGACACACGUCAUCAAGAAAGCAAAAAUAUACAAUCUAAUAUGUCAGAUGGUGCUUGUUCUCAUCACUGUUUGCCUGUCUGUGUUUGCUUCCUGGUUUGAGUCGGGUUGGGUUGGCUGGCUGCUUUAUCUAGUUGUAUGUUUGUUGGCACUAUAUGAUAUAUAUCUGUUCAUACUGUAUCCAGUAGAGCACGUCCACAAAACCUGGAUAGAGAAACGAGUCCAAACAGGAAUGGAUAAGCACACAUAUGCCAUGGAGGCUCUCUUUAAGGUCCCUCCACUGAUUCCAAAUACUAAUGUCACAACCCUACCUAGCAACUCUCUACGGAUAGAAUAUUCGAAUCAAAUUUUGAAACAAUCAAUUAAGGAUUUUUUCAUCAUUCCUAUGAAGCUCUGUCUGAACUUGUACAUACUCGUUGGGCUGUCUGGGUCACUACCUGAGGCUGCUGUGCCAUUAAACCAGCACCUCCUGGAAGGUUCUUCAAACACCUCUCUGAUGUCAACGGUCUUGAGUAGCCUAAUGCUUCCAUGGGGUAGUGAACCCACUGGUACAACAGUAGGGUUGAGGAUGGAUCUUUACAUAUUAUAUUUGGCUAUCAUUUGCUAUCUUCUUGUAGCAUAUGUCCAGGAUAUACAAGGCUGCCAACAAUCUGAGGUAUCAAGAAACAUUUUAGGCAUGGCUGAACAUUUCAAGUUUAAUCUGAAGGAAAUGGAUCGUAUUAUGCAGCGCAGAGUCAUACAGUCAGAAAAGAAGCAUGGUGACAGAACUGUAUCACAGACAUAAUCUGCCUACACAUGAUACUUUCAUCUUUAAAAAAAAUACUCGUUAUUGUACACAUAGAGUUAUAGGAUAGGAAUAUCUUAAUGAAUAAAAGAAUAAGGUAGUUUCAGAAACAGUUAUCAUAACACCCGUCAAACAUCCACAAUUGCAAAAUAUGUCAAAUUAAGGUUAUUCCUGGUGAAAAGAAUGCAAAUACUUUUGAGGUUCCAUGAAUACAUAUGCGACCAACUGAUCAAGGAUCUGAUGUUCGCAACGCUACGCAGCCUAAACACGUUCGUCAAAUGAUGUGAUAUUGUUUUUAAUGUUUUCAAUGUAGAGCUAAGUUACCUGUAUAUUUAACCGAGUAAACUGAUUUUGGAACCGAAUGCACAUCGGUCUUACAUAUGGAAACAUACACGCAAAAACAUUGCUUGAUGAUCUAAUUAAAUGCCAAGGAAACACUUGCAAUAUAUUUGUUGUGAUUUGAUACUUCUGACAGAAUCAAAUUUUUUUAAUAGGCUGUGAAUUGGAAGCUAAUGUUGGACUGAAAUCAUAUCCAUACUGCUCACUAAAAUAGUUAUGAUCAGAAAAUGUUUUUAGUGGUUUAGGGUGAGGUGAGGUGAGGUGAGGUGAGGUGAGUUAUCAUGGAAUGAAUUUCACAUUGAGGUGGUUUACUGGAGUAUGAACGCUAAAGUCGUGUAAACGCCGGAGCUUGCGACAUUCUGACAAUUUGCGUAUUGUUAUUUGUUUUUAUGUUUUUCAUUGUAACCAAGAGAAAUGGUCAGAAAUGCCGAUAAAAAGAAAACGUUGUCGUGCGUGAUUUUGCAUCAGUCAUGCCGUCACACAGAACGAAAACUUUGUUGAAUUUACCAAAUGAUUGUAAUGUAUCUAUUUUCUAAUUCCCUAAUUCUUGCUACGAUACACUUCCCAUGCAUAGAGCCAUUGUGUCGCUCAAAAUAGGAGAAAAUGCUACACAGUGUAAUAUCUGAAUUUUGCGUUGUUUGCAUUUCAAACAAGUGCAGUUUUCCGAUCAUAGCCAUCGUUUUCACACCUAAUUUAUUUCGCUUGCGUUUGGUGACAAAGGCCAUUUAUCAUUUCAGUCUAAAACGUAUAAGGAAUUCAGGGAUGUAUGUAUCGCCGCUGAGUUUGAAAAACACGUGAUGUAAUAGGCGUCUCAUACGUGAACAUGAUUUUGUAAACACUGUUUCACAUUGAUCAUUGGUGAUUUGAUUUAAAAAAUAUAUAUACCGGAAAUCACCGAUAUGCUAUUUUUGAAAUUCAAUUCUCCGUGUAAAUAUCCAAUAUUUUGAUUUCAAAACAUGUAUGGACACUAUAACAGGGAAGUGAUCAGACACAUCGAAAGGAGUUGAAUCCGUGUAAAUAUCCAAUAUUUUGAUUUCAAAACAUACACUUAAUAACGCAGUAAUUUAAUGGCGAUUUAGUAAUGUGUAAAAAAUGCUCAGAUUUACGAUGUCCCGAAUUUUCAGAGGUCAUUUUCAUUAAUUUUCUUUUGCUCAAAAUGAGAUUGUCAUAACUUAUACUGAUAAAAAACAAUAAGGAAAUAAAGCGACUUGUUAAAUAUU